UUUUCUUGCGCUGCUGCCCUCUCAGCCAACCGUCACGUACAAUGACAGCUGAACUUCCGUUGCCACCACAGUCACAAGAGAAGGAGAAAACUUUGUGUCGGACAGAAGAGUGAGCACGAAUCAUAUCGCGUGCAGUUCGGUCGUGAGUCUCGUUGGGAAAAGUCGUUCCGGCGUCGUGCAAAACCCACGACAUAUUAGAGUUGAUCCGGGUCCUCGCAGCACAUCAGACCGCUUCAAGACGAACCCAAAAAUCGCUAGAACAACGCUCUAGCGAGCAGAAAGAGCAAAUUUUGGGAACAGGGAGUGCGCACGAAUUCUGGUCCCAGUCAUUUUCUGGUCGGUUCUGGAACUCUGGAACACCACAAGAACUCGUCGCAGUGAGGUCAUCCGACUGCGUAGGACGUUAGGAAAUAUCAACUCACAACCGAACGUCCACAGAAUCCCAGGAGGAGAGUCACGAGAUUAGUACUCCUACAAUCACUCAGUUUCACCCGAAGCAAUCCGGGAGGACAGAAAGGCCCCAGAAGGGGCCUUUUUCCACACGUGGGAUACUGCAUACUAGACCUCCGGAGAGACGACGACGCAGACACAGGGCUGGAACAAGGAUUCGUUCUGUAGGCCUUCUCCAGUGAACGAACGCCAACGGCCCGCGGUGCUAGUGGGUCGGCCCCACUCGACGAUGCGGAUCGCACACCGAUUGCAAGUCGAAGGACGUGUAAACUGACCGCAGAGGUUGAUACCAGACAGACACGACAGCGCGUAUUUCUUUGCCCCAGGUGCCCAGCCUCAACUCCAAGCACGAACGGCCAUCUAGAGGGUCCUUCAGGUUUGCAUGCCCACGAGACACGGCGCGAAUCGAAUCGCCCAGCGAGAAAGGAUCCUGCGCAGCGGACGGCAUUGGUACAG